ACUCAAAGGAAUUGACGGGGGCCCGCACAAGCGGUGGAGCAUGUGGUUUAAUUCGAUGCAACACGAAGAACCUUACCAAGAUUUGACAUUAAGAGAAGUUUUUUGAAAGAAAAACAAGCUACGGCCUCUUAAACAGGUGGUGCAUGGCUGUCGUCAGCUCGUGUCGUGAGAUGUUAGGUUAAGUCCUGUAACGAGCGCAACCCUUGUCUUUAGUUAUUCUGUCUAAAGAGACUGCCAAUGAGAAAUUGGAGGAAGGUGAGGAUGAUGUCAAGUCAUCAUGCCCUUUAUAUCUUGGGCUACACACGUGCUACAAUGGAUAUGACAAAAAGUUGCUACUUUGUAAAAAGAUGCUAAUCUCGAAACAUAUUCUAAGUUCGGAUUAUAGGCUGCAACUCGCCUAUAUGAAGUUGGAAUCGCUAGUAAUCGCAGGUCAGCUAUACUGCGGUGAAUUUGUUCCCGGGCCUUGUACACACCGCCCGU
rnacentral:rRNA from 1 species